rnacentral:rRNA from 1 species
UACGUAGGGUGCAAGCGUUAAUCGAUAAUCUGGGCGUAAAGCGUGCGCAGGCGGUGAUGUAAGACAGAUGUGAAAUCCCCGGGCUCAACCUGGGAACUGCAUUUGUGACUGCAUCGCUGGAGUGCGGCAGAGGGGGAUGGAAUUCCGCGUGUAGCAGUGAAAUGCGUAGAUAUGCGGAGGAACACCGAUGGCGAAGGCAAUCCCCUGGGCCUGCACUGACGCUCAUGCACGAAAGCGUGGGGAGCAAACAGG